CAGUCGCCACGGGAAUACGGAGGAUGCAAGCGUUAUCCGGAAUGAUUGGGCGUAAAGCGUCUGUAGGUGGUUUAUUAAGUCUGCUGUUAAAGCACAGGGCUCAACCCUGUAUGGGCGGUAGAAACUGGUAGGCUUGAGUAUGGUAGGGGUAGAGGGAAUUCCCGAUGUAGUGGUGAAAUGCGUUGAUAUCGGGAAGAACACCAAAGGCGAAAGCACUCUGCUGGGCCAAUACUGACACUGAGAGACGAAAGCUAGGGGAGCAAAUGGGAUUAGAUACCCGGGUAGUCCCUGUCUCUUAUAC
rnacentral:rRNA from 1 species